GAAGUUGCCCGUGUUAUUUUCG
rnacentral:miRNA from 12 species